AGUGUAGGCGGUAACGUAAGUCGGAUGUGAAAUCCCUGGGCUCAACCUAGGAAUUGCAUUCGAUACUGCGUAACUUGAAUCAGACAGAGGGAUGUGGAAUUCCGGGUGUAGCGGUGAAAUGCGUAGAUAUCCGGAGGAACACCAGUGGCGAAGGCGGCAUCCUGGGUCUAGAUUGACGCUGAGGCUCGAAAGCGUGGGGAGCAAACAGGAUUAGAUACCCUGGUAGUCC
rnacentral:rRNA from 1 species